CAUGUCCUUUUGUGAUAAAUUAAAGGUUUGGCCUGCUCAAUGAAUUUUAAAUAGCCGCAGUAUAUUGACUGUGCAAAGGUAGCAUAAUAAUUAGUUUCUUGAUUAGAAACUGGAAUGAAUGGCUGGACAAGAAAAUUUCUGUCUCUUUUUUAAUAUUAUUGAACUUUAUUUUUAAGUGAAAAAGCUUAAAUUUUUAUAAAAGACGAGAAGACCCUAUAGAGUUUAAUAUUUAUUUUAAAUGAUAUGUUAGAAUAUUAUUUUUUUUAUUAAAUAUUUGGUUGGGGUGAUUGAAAGAAAUAAAUAAUUCUUUUAAUAUUUAAUUGAUAAUUUUCAAUUUUUAGAUUUAUAAUUUAUAGAAUUAAAAUAAAUUACCUUAGGGAUAACAGCGUAAUUUUUCUUUAAAGUUCUUAUUAAAAGGAAAGUUUGCGACCUCGAUGUUGGAUUAAAAUUAAUUUUUGGUGCAGUAACUUAAAAAUUAGGUCUGUUCGACCUUUAAAAUUUUACAUGAUCUGAGUUUAAACCGGUGUGAGCCAGGUUGGAUUCUAUCUUUAGAAAUAUUUUAUAUUUUAGUACGAAAGGACCAAAUAUAAAUUAAAUUAAUUGU
rnacentral:rRNA from 1 species